CCCAAAGGUCAAGAUCUCCUCCCUGUAGCGGUUGAUGUACUUGGCGGCAGUGAGUGACAUCCCCCUGUCCGUGGCCACUGACAUGGUGGAAGAGUGUGGCCUGGACUACCUCCCCAACACAGCCUGCUCGCUGCACAACACCGCGCUGAAGGACGCCUCUGCACCCUGUUGUGUGUGCGGCUUCAUGUGUCAGAACCUGGACCUCAGGAAGCUGUGGAGCCUCAGAAGGGGAAGCACUAGGAGCUGUGGGUCUCUCCAGCCUGAGCCUUGAGAUCAUUUUGGAGAACUACGCUUUCCCCGGGCACUGAUUCUCACACGCCCAACGGAGGUGGUCUUGGAGGCCUGUGCAUUGGUGUGGGUGGUGCCGAUGCUGUUGAUGUUAUGGCCGACAUUUCCUGGGAGCUGAAGUGCCCUAAGAUUCGGAGGAAGAAGAAGAGGAGGAAGAGAUAACAAGAGGAACAGAAGAAGGAGAAGAAGAAGUAAGCUCUCUCUCUCUCUCUCUCUCUCUCUCUCUCUCUCUCUCUCUCUCUCUCUCUCUCUCUCUCUCUCUCUCUCUCUCACACACACACACAC